AGAACGAACGCUGGCGGCAGGCUUAACACAUGCAAGUCGAGCGCCCCGCAAGGGGGAGCGGCAGACGGGUGAGUAACGCGUGGGAAUCUACCCAUCUCUACGGAACAACUCCGGGAAACUGGAGCUAAUACCGUAUACGCCCUUCGGGGAAAGAUUUAUCGGAGAUGGAUGAGCCCGCGUUGGAUUAGCUAGUUGGUGGGGUAAUGGCCUACCAAGGCGACGAUCCAUAGCUGGUCUGAGAGGAUGAUCAGCCACACUGGGACUGAGACACGCCAGACUCCUACGGGAGGCAGCAGUGGGGAAUAUUGGACAAUGGGCGAAAGCCUGAUCCAGCAAUGCCGCUGAGUGAUGAAGGCCGUAGGUGUAAGCUCUUUUACCGGAAGAUAAUGACUGUACCGGAGAAUAAGCCCGGACAACUCCGUGCCAGCAGCCGC
rnacentral:rRNA from 1 species